rnacentral:misc_RNA from 1 species
GAUGAAGAACGCAGCGAAAUGCGAUAAGUAAUGUGAAUUGCAGAACUCAGUGAAUCAUCGAGUCUUUGAACGCACAUUGCGCCCCCUGGUAUUCCGGGGGGCAUGCCUGUCCGAGCGUCAUUGCUGCCCUCAAGCACGGCUUGUGUGUUGGGCCCCGCCCCCCGGCUCCCGGGGGGCGGGCCCGAAAGGCAGCGGCGGCACCGCGUCCGGUCCUCGAGCGUAUGGGGCUUCGUCACCCGCUCCGUAGGCCCGGCCGGCGCCCGCCGGCGACCCCCCUCAAUCUUUUCAGGUUGACCUCGGAUCAGGUAGGGAUACCCGCUGAACUUAAGCAUAUCAAUAAGCGGAGGA